rnacentral:rRNA from 1 species
UACGAAGGGGGCUAGCGUUACUCGGAUUGACUGGGCGUAAAGGGCGCGUAGGCGGAUGGUACAGUCAGACGUGAAAUUCCUGGGCUCAACCUGGGGGCUGCGUUUGAUACGUGCUGUCUGGAGUUCGGAAGAGGGUCGUGGAAUUCCCAGUGUAGAGGUGAAAUUCGUAGAUAUUGGGAAGAACACCGGUGGCGAAGGCGGCGACCUGGUCCGAUACUGACGCUGAGGCGCGAAAGCGUGGGGAGCAAACGGG